rnacentral:rRNA from 1 species
UACGUAGGUGGCAAGCGUUGUCCGGAUUUACUGGGCGUAAAGAGCGCGCAGGCGGUCGGAUAAGUCGAAUGUGAAAGCCCCCGGCUUAACUGGGGAGGGUCAUUCGAUACUGUUCGACUGGAAGGCAGGAGAGGGAAGCGGAAUUCCCGGUGUAGUGGUGAAAUGCGUAGAUAUCGGGAGGAACACCAGUGGCGAAGGCGACACGCUGGGCCGUACCUGACACUGAACCGCGACAGCAUGGGGAGCAAACAGG